GCUGGUUACAUGAGCGGGACUUCUCAAAUUUUAAAUUUCAUCUUCAGUCGUUCUCUCUCUAUAUUCAUAUCUAGGGGAUUACAUAAAAUAGAAGAAAGGAUCUAGAUGAAACCCUAAAGUCUUCUGCUCGUUCUCUCUCUAAGUUCACUAGCUACAACAAAUCGAUAGGUGAUUUGUAAAUCGAUAACUUGUUUUGAUUUGUGUUGCCGCAGAUUAAAAUGGUUAAAGUGGCAGUCUUCUUGUUUGCUGUCAGCGUUGGUUGUUUACGGUGGUUUUGGCAAAGCUCCGGCGGUGGUUUAUAUACAUGGUGGUCACCGGAAUUUAACCUUCCUUCUGUUUAAAGAUUUUGAAGAUUACAGAGAUUUUUACGUUUUGGUUCAGAGCUCUGUAGGUUCUGUUGGGAUCCACUCCACUGGAGUUGAUAUGUGGUUUGUAUUUCGAAAUCUACCUCUCUUAGCUUUUGUUAUUGUUUAUAAUUUGUGUGUUAAUGUAUAUAAUCUAUAUGGAGUUUUUAUUGUUUCGCCUAAAGUGUGUGAAUCAUUUCAAUAUUUAAUAUGUUUGACAUUUAAAGAUUAGGAUGUUCAUAUUUGUUUUUUGUUUUCUUUCUAAAAUGAAGCCAAAAUAUGACAAAGAUGAUCACAAAUAGUUGAUCUAUAACACAAUGACUAGAGCUGACAUAUUUAAAGGGGAAUUGCACUCUAGGCCAUCUCCAACUCCAAUGGUUCCAAGUCUCAACCAUCUCCAACUCGAAUAGAGAAGAGGAAAGGCAAAUUUUGACUUUUGGAAGUCAAAUGAGUGGGUCUCUUUAAUGAGAAAACUCAUGGAACUUGCUUGAUUUUAACAAAAAGAAAUGACUUUUGCAGUUUAAUUAUUUAUGCAUGUGCAAUUUAACUAUAUUAGAGCUACAUGAGUCAAGAUUUUUGGGUCAAUUUUGAAUUUGGAAAGCAACAAGGUUGAGUUCCAAAUAACUGAAUUUAUUGAAAUUGUCAAAUUUGUGAUGAUUUAUGGAGAGGGUUCCCAGUUUGCUUGAAGUAUGUCUUGGCAUUAGUUUCACAACUGAUAAUGAGCCAUUUAAGGUCAAAUAUCCCGCCUUUUUUGUUUUUUGUUUUUUUUUAUCUUUUAUAUGAACACAAAGUUUACUAUUAAGAAGCUAUACACAAAAUACAGAGGGGAAUGGGAAUGGUCACUGAGAAAAUUGUCAACUUAUUGAAGAAUGAAAAUAUGUUUGAAUCACAAGGAGGCUUGCUUUUUCUUUCUUAGAUUGUUUGAGUGAUGGUUGGUGCAAGUUGAGAAUGAGUACGGAUCUAUAGGAAAGGCGUAUGGAGGUGCGGCUACAACUACAUGACUUAGGCUGCAAACAUGGCGGUUAAAUUGGACACCCCAUUCGUAAUGUGCAAGCAAGAUAGUACUCACAACCAAAUGUUCCAUUUUUUGCUCUACACAUUUGCAGAGAAUUUGAAAUCAUCCACGGGAUGAGACGAGACGAGAAAACAGUGGGUUAGCAUACCUUCUUUUCUUGGCGAAUAGAGAGUUUUCGAUUAUCUGUUGAAAAGCCAAAUACUUUGAGCUUGACAUGUGGCAUUAUAUUGAUUAGAGCUUGAUGAAAUGCGAAGCGAAGAAGGAUACUUAAGUUAUAUCCACUAUUGCAUAUAGCACUAUAGAUGCAAAGAGAAACAUGAUUGGGGGAUUUGAGAAUCUAUCAACUUUCCUGUUGUCUGUUUGUUAGGAUUUUUAGAUUUUAAGUUAGUUUACUUUAAUAUGGUGCUAAAAUAAGGUAUUGUGUUUUAGGUAAAAGCUGGCGUGGAAACUCAAGUUGAUUUCGUUAAGUCACUUGCUUUUGAAGCCUGUGUUGCUUUCUUUACAGACAUACAAGAUUGCGGCCUUUGUGAACUGGCUACACGGAGAACUCUCCUUCUUGGUUGAUGAGAGGGCAGUAUUGAAGCACUUUGAAGCACUUUGACUUGCCAGAAGGGAAAGCAGGUGCACUAAGAAAAGCAAGCUUUGAAUAUCAAGACCUGAACUAUGUAUCCAAACACGUAACUUUGUUGAUGAUUCAAAUCACUCCUAUGAAUAUGCUUUAAAGAAUGUACAAGUUGCUGUAUGUAUCCAAACACUUGAUAUUUAGUUUUAAAUAUCUUUUUUAUGAUCGUUA